UAUAGAGGGGGCAAGCGUUGUUCGGAAUUACUGGGCGUAAAGGGCGCGUAGGCGGCCUUCUAAGUCGAACGUGAAAUCCCCGGGCUCAACCCGGGAACUGCGUCCGAUACUGGAAGGCUUGAAUCCGGGAGAGGGAUGUGGAAUUCCAGGUGUAGCGGUGAAAUGCGUAGAUAUCUGGAGGAACACCGGUGGCGAAGGCGACAUCCUGGACCAAUACUGACGCUCAUGUGCGAAAGCGUGGGGAGCAAACAGG
rnacentral:rRNA from 1 species